GUGGGGAAUAUUGCACAAUGGGCGAAAGCCUGAUGCAGCAACGCCGCGUGAGGGACGACGGCCUUCGGGUUGUAAACCUCUUUUAGUAGGGAAGAAGCGAAAGUGACGGUACCUGCAGAAAAAGCACCGGCUAACUACGUGCCAGCAGCCGCGGUAAUACGUAGGGUGCAAGCGUUAUCCGGAAUUAUUGGGCGUAAAGAGCUCGUAGGCGGUCUGUCGCGUCUGCUGUGAAAACUGGCGGCUCAACCUCCAGCCUGCAGUGGGUACGGGCAGACUAGAGUGCGGUAGGGGAGAUUGGAAUUCCUGGUGUAGCGGUGGAAUGCGCAGAUAUCAGGAGGAACACCGAUGGCGAAGGCAGAUCUCUGGGCCGUAACUGACGCUGAGGAGCGAAAGCGUGGGGAGCGAACAGGAUUAGAUACCCGGGUAGUCC
rnacentral:rRNA from 1 species